ACGGCGAGUGAAGCGGGAACAGCUCAUAAUGAAAAUUGGAAUGCUUUUAGUGUUUCAAAUUGUAGUCUAUGGAAUUAUGUCCCAGCCAACCCUUCGGGAUAAGUCCUUUGGAAGAAGGCAUCAUAGAUGGUGAUAAUCCAGUCUUUUCCUGAAGAGCGUUGUGCGUACGGGCUUAUUUCAACGAGUCGAGUUGCUUGGGAUUGCAGCUCUAAGUGGGUGGUAAACUCCAUCUAAAGCUAAAUAUUGGUGGGAGACCGAUAGCGAACAAGUACCGUGAGGGAAAGAUGAAAAGAACUUUGAAAAGAGAGUUAAAAAGUACCUGAAAUUGCUGAAAGGGAAGCGAAUAAAGUUAGUGUCAGCUCUUUGUUGUAUUUCCAUUUUCCUUUCAAGGAAGGUGGCGCUGCAGCUUUGAGCACGUCAGGAUGGGUUUAAUCUGUGGUAUACGCUGGAUUGAUUGGUAGGCCCUUGGGCUGUUAAAUCUUUUCAUGACUGCUAUGGAUAAGACCGAGGUUUGUUUUGCCAUCAUAGAUUCGUCUUUGCGCAAGGCAUGAUCCUGACAAAAUGACUUAUUUACCCCGUCUUGA
rnacentral:rRNA from 1 species